rnacentral:rRNA from 1 species
UACGUAGGGGGCAAGCGUUGUUCGGAUUUACUGGGCGUAAAGGGCGCGUAGGCGGCCAGCACAAGUCAGUUGUGAAAUCUCCGAGCUUAACUCGGAAAGGUCAACUGAUACUGUGCGGCUAGAGUGCGGAAGGGGCAACUGGAAUUCUUGGUGUAGCGGUGAAAUGCGUAGAUAUCAAGAGGAACACCUGCGGCGAAGGCGGGUUGCUGGGCCGACACUGACGCUGAGGCGCGAAAGCCAGGGGAGCGAACGGG